rnacentral:snRNA from 1 species
UUUUUUACUGGACAGGAGAGUCUCUAUGAUCAAAAAGGUAGGUUUCCAAUGACGGGGCACCUCAAUUGUACUACCCGUGUGCUGACUUCUGCAGCUUCCCCAAAUACAGAAACGUGACAGUAUAAUUUGUGAUAGGGAAUUGACUGUGCACUCUUCCUAG